GUAUUAAAUUUUUCAGCUUGCAAAAAAAACAAGCUUAUGUUUUAACAUUCUAAACUUUUAAGUGUAUAUGAAAAGACAUAGGCCAAUUAUAAAAUUGACCUACAAAAGGUGCACAUGGUGUAAAAUUUGGAAAGGAGGUGUGCACAAUAUCUUGGAUUAAGACCAGCUAACAACCUCCCUCUAUAAUUCAAUAAUGAUCCUUCCGCAGGUUCACCUACGGAAA
rnacentral:misc_RNA from 1 species